AUUGAACGCUGGCGGCAUGCUUUACACAUGCAAGUCGAACGGUAACAGGCCUUCGGGUGCUGACGAGUGGCGAACGGGUGAGUAAUGCAUCGGAACGUACCCAGAGGUGGGGGAUAACGCAGCGAAAGCUGUGCUAAUACCGCAUGUGAUCUGAGGAUGAAAGCGGGGGACCGAGCAGCAAUGUUUGGCCUCGCGCCUUUGGAGCGGCCGAUGUCGGAUUAGCUAGUUGGUGGGGUAAAGGCCUACCAAGGCGACGAUCCGUAGCUGGUCUGAGAGGACGACCAGCCACACUGAGACUGAGACACGGCCCAGACUCCUACGGGAGGCAGCAGUGGGGAAUUUUGGACAAUGGGCGCAAGCCUGAUCCAGCAAUGCCGCGUGCGGGAAGAAGGCCUUCGGGUUGUAAACCGCUUUUGGCAGGAACGAAACGGUGUCCGCUAAUACCGGGCGCUAAUGACGGUACCUGCAGAAUAAGCACCGGCUAACUACGUG
rnacentral:rRNA from 1 species